CUCAAGCUAUCCGCACCACCCUCUCUUCCAUUUCAUGCGAAGAUUGUAGUCCCGCAGCCCUGCGACCAGCGGCCGGAAGCAGCUAAGAUGCUACUGCUCCCAGCAUGCCCCGCGAGGCGCGCACAGCACAGGCCCUCUCUCAAGGUCACCACCUCCACUCCCGUUGUAUGCUGGGAUUGUAGUCCGGCCGCCCUGUGACUAACGGCUGGAACCGCCUAAGACACCACCCCAGCCAGCAUGGCCGGCAGGAGCGCACCGCGCUGUCUCCCUCCAGGGAUCCGCACCGCCCUACAAUCCUGCUUUGUGCUGAGAUUGUAGUCCUGCAGGCGUACAACUAACAAGCUGGGUGCAGAUAAGAGACUACAGCUCCCCGCAUCCCAAGCAAAGGUCCCUCCUCUACGGAGCCCCUCCACGCGUCCACUGCGGUUCCGCCGUGCCAAGGGGAGCUUGGCUGUUCACGGGCCUCACCUGCUAGCGAGAAGAUAGCUUGGCCGGGCGGCUGAUCUCACCUUGUAAUUCUGACACUGUGUCUCCCGGGCUUGUCGGCUUCAUGACUUGUGCCCAAAGUUUGAUUUCUCGCAGACCAGGAGGACCCAUUGGACCCCCGGGCUGGCUGCAGGGCCCACACCUGGGUUAGACCUCGCACAGGGACGCUGCUGCCACUGUAAUAAAGCGUGCCUACACGCUUCUGAAACUGGUGUAGGAACAACCUCAGUUCUGUGAAAGGCGGACGCAGCAGGACAGAAUCUCCGUGGACAUCUGUCUGGAGGAGCAAUUUUACUGCGACAUUUUAAAGAAACAAAUUUAAUUGAUUUCCAAGGCUUGAGUGUGAUUAAAAAAAAAAAAUUAAAAGGUAAACUUCACCGUGCAGGAAGAAGCAUAGGAAAAGAGAGAGAGAAAAGAACAAAGAAAAAAAAGAAUAGCAAGUCUCUCCAAGUACUAUGGAAACAAACAGAAAGUGGAAUUAGGAAAAAAGAGAGGAAGAAGGUCUGAGUAGUCCAAGGGACACGGGAGGCCAGUUGGGAAGACCGCCCGGGCGAGACCAGGAAGAUCAAGGCCACAGUGAAUCACGAUCCCAUCCCUCUGCUCAACCUGAAUUGUACUGCUGCUGGCGAGAGAGAUCUGGUCGACCUUAGACAUGGCAAGGCGAGAGGUGAGGUCCAUCAGGUCGACCUUAGUCCAACGCUCACAGCCGACAUCUCUCUCAAAAUAAAUA
rnacentral:lncRNA from 1 species